GUGUGUCAGCAAGUUCUGUACUGACCUCUAAGUGUUUGUCUCACAAGUAGGAGGCAGUGAUGGGCUGGAUGAGAGGCAUUUCCCAGUAAGAGAGAGUGAUGUAACUUUACUGCAAAAAGGAACAGGCAAAGAACCACUUGAUAAUGUGGAAUUUUGAUCAUUACAUGUUCCAGAUAAAUAUUCAGACUGCAAAUUAUGAAAAUAGAAUGGUUGGACUAAGCUGACUGGAGUGCCUUGCGGGCUCCUUCAAAAAUAAGAAACAAAGGAAAUAUGAGAAGCAGGAACUGGAGUAGUCCUUUGCCACCCAGAAAUACACCACAGCAGCACUGGGCUGGUUUACUAGUCAUAUCGGUUGUACAACAAGCUAGAAAGAACAAAGAAAAGGCAAAGUCUAAGUUUUACAAUGCAUAAAGGUUGGUUCUUUC